GCAUCGUCCUCCAUGCAUCCCGGCGUCCCUUUCGAUGCCCAUCCAACGGACAUGAAGACAUUCCCUUUGGGCACGCCGACACCUAACACGUCAUACCAGGACUCGCUAUCAAACUUCAAGGGGCUGCUGCGCUGCCACAACCAGCACCAGAAAUUCAGCUGGGACGGUGCCCUAAACUAGACACGUCAUCCCUGCAUGCAAGAAUGUGCGCUGGUCGGUCACCUGCAUUCCGUCCUUCUCAUAAUAAAAACUGAGUGGAGGAGCAUGGAUCCGUGG
rnacentral:lncRNA from 1 species